GUACGAUGGGGAUGCGUUCCAUUAGGUAGUAGGCGGGGUAACGGCCCACCUAGCCUACGAUGGAUAGGGGUUCUGAGAGGAAGGUCCCCCGCAUUGGAACUGAGACACGGUCCAAACUCCUACGGGAGGCAGCAGUGAGGAAUAUUGGUCAAUGGACGAGAGUCUGAACCAGCCAAGUAGCGUGAAGGAUGAAGGUCCUACGGAUUGUAAACUUCUUUUAUAAGGGAAUAAAACCUCCCACGUGUGGGAGCUUGUAUGUACCUUAUGAAUAAGCAUCGGCUAACUCCGUGCCAGCAGCCGCGGUAAUACGGAGGAUGCGAGCGUUAUCCGGAUUUAUUGGGUUUAAAGGGAGCGCAGACGGGUCGUUAAGUCAGCUGUGAAAGUUUGGGGCUCAACCUUAAAAUUGCAGUUGAUACUGGCGUCCUUGAGUGCGGUUGAGGUGUGCGGAAUUCGUGGUGUAGCGGUGAAAUGCUUAG
rnacentral:rRNA from 1 species